AUUGAACGCUGGCGGCAUGCCUUACACAUGCAAGUCGAACGGCAGCGCGGACUUCGGUCUGGCGGCGAGUGGCGAACGGGUGAGUAAUAUAUCGGAACGUGCCCUGGAGUGGGGGAUAACCAGUCGAAAGACUGGCUAAUACCGCAUACGACUUACGGAUGAAAGGGGGGGAUCGCAAGACCUUAUGCGCGUGGAGCGGCCGAUAUCUGAUUAGCUAGUUGGUGGGGUAAGAGCCCACCAAGGCAACGAUCAGUAGUUGGUCUGAGAGGACGACCAGCCACACUGGGACUGAGACACGGCGCAGACUCCUACGGGAGGCAGCAGUGGGGAAUUUUGGACAAUGGGGGCAACCCUGAUCCAGCAAUGCCGCGUGUGUGAAGAAGGCCUUCGGGUUGUAAAGGACUUUUGUCAGGGAGGAAAUCCCUAGUGCUAAUAACACUGGGGGAUGACAGUACCUGAAGAAUAAGCACCGGCUAACUACGUGCCAGCAGCCGCCGUAA
rnacentral:rRNA from 1 species